rnacentral:rRNA from 1 species
GAUGAACGCUGGCGGCGUGCCUAAUACAUGCAAGUCGAGCGAACGGACGAGAAGCUUGCUUCUCUGAUUUUAGCGUCGGACGGGUGAGUAACACGUGGAUAACCUACCUAUAAGACUGGGAUAACUUCGGGAAACCGGAGCUAAUUCCGGCUUAUAUUUUGAACCGCAUGGUUCAAAAGUGAAAGACGGUCUUGCUGUCACUUAUAGAUGGAUCCGCGCUGCAUUAGCUAGUUGGUAAGGUAACGGCUUACCAAGGCAACGAUGCAUAGCCGACCUGAGAGGGUGAUCGGCCACACUGGAACUGAGACACGGUCCAGACUCCUACGGGAGGCAGCAGUAGGGAAUAUUGCGCAAUGGGCGAAAGCCUGACGGAGCAACGCCGCGUGAGUGAUGAGGGUCUUCGGAUCGUAAAACUCUGUUAUUAGGGAAGAACAUAUGUGUAAGUAACUGUGCACAUCUUGACGGUACCUAAUCAGAAAGCCCCGGCUAACUACGUG